GGUGGGGUAACGGCCCACCAAGCCGAAGAUCGGUACGGGCCAUGAGAGUGGGAGCCCGGAGAUGGACACUGAGACACGGGUCCAGGCCCUACGGGGCGCAGCAGGCGCGAAACCUCCGCAAUGCGGGAAACCGCGACGGGGGGACCCCCAGUGCCGUGGCAUCGCCACGGCUUUUCCGGAGUGUAAAAAGCUCCGGGAAUAAGGGCUGGGCAAGGCCGGUGGCAGCCGCCGCGGUAAUACCGGCGGCCCAAGUGGUGGCCGCUAUUAUUGGGCCUAAAGCGUCCGUAGCCGGGCCCGUAAGUCCCUGGCGAAAUCCCACGGCUCAACCGUGGGGCUUGCUGGGGAUACUGCGGGCCUUGGGACCGGGAGAGGCCGGGGGUACCCCUGGGGUAGGGGUGAAAUCCUGUAAUCCCGGGAGGACCACCUGUGGCGAAGGCGCCCGGCUGGAACGGCUCCGACGGUGAGGGACGAAGGCCUGGGGAGCGAACCGGAUUAGAUACCCGGGUAGUCCAGGCUGUAAACGAUGCGGGCUAGGUGUCGGGCAAGCCACGAGCUUGCCCGGUGCCGGAGGGAAGCCGUUAAGCCCGCCGCCUGGGAAGUACGGCCGCAAGGCUGAAACUUAAAGGAAUUGGCGGGGGAGCACUACAACGGGUGGAGCCUGCGGUUUAAUUGGAUUCAACGCCGGAAACCUU
rnacentral:rRNA from 1 species